rnacentral:rRNA from 1 species
CGAAGGAACCUUCNGGUUAGUGGCGGACGGGUGAGUAACGCUUCCCAUCUGCCCUCAGGAAGGGGAUAACGGUUGGAAACGACCGCUAAUACCCCAUAUGCCGAGAGGUGAAAAGAAAUUCGCCUGAGGAUGAGCUCGCGUCUGAUUAGCUAGUUGGUGUGGUAAUGGCGCACCAAGGCUUCGAUCAGUAGCUGGUCUGAGAGGAUGAUCAGCCACACUGGGACUGAGACACGGCCCAGACUCCUACGGGAGGCAGCAGUGGG